rnacentral:rRNA from 1 species
GACGUAGGGCGCGAGCGUUGUCCGGAUUUAUUGGGCGUAAAGAGCUCGUAGGCGGUUCAUUGCGUCAAUCGUGAAAUCCUGUGGCUCAACUACAGGCUUGCGGUUGAUACGGGUGGGCUGGAGUUCGGUAGGGGAGACUGGAAUUCCUGGUGUAGCGGUGAAAUGCGCAGAUAUCAGGAGGAACACCGGUGGCGAAGGCGGGUCUCGUGGGCCGUAACUGACGCUGAGGAGCGAAAGCGUGGGGAGCGAACAGG